rnacentral:snRNA from 11 species
GGACGUGAGGGUGAUCUGACUGCAACUUCUGUCACCCCAUUGAUCAUCAGGGUUGAUUUGGCUGAUCUGUCUGGCUAGCCGGGUAUCCCCUUCCUCCCUCACCGCUCCAUGUGUGUCCUAUCCCAAGAUGUGUGCUCGGUGGAAGAGGAUGACAUCUCAGGUAUAGGAUGACAUCUCAAGAGUGACAUCUCAGGAAGAGGAUGACAUCUCAGGAGUGUAUCGAGGUCUCCAUUCUUCAGUCCCAGGUUUACGAUAACUCCAAACAAGUUGUUU